AUAUCUUUGCAUGUCUCUCCAUA
rnacentral:siRNA from 1 species